GUUCACAUGCUCAGAAUCGCAGAGAAAAAGACCCUACAUGAACUGCAGAUUAAAAGAGUUCAGAUGAAGAAAAUGCAUUCUUGCAUGAGGUGAGAUAGCUUUAUUCUCCCUACAAGCGUCACCUGUCCUGCUUUUAAUACCUGUGUUGAGAUCUGGCUGUCAGCACUGUCUUAGUGUGCUGGCUAUAAACUCCAGCCCAUGAAUUUAUUACUCUGUACAGCUGGAAAAUAUAUUUGUUGGCAUUGUUCUUCUCUGUAGCACGUUAUUGUUAACUCAUUCCUUAGAGGAAAAUGAUGGUAAAAACCUAGAAAUAGGUGUUUUUUUGUGUUUUUUGUUUGUUUGUUUUUAAGAGAUCAACCUGUGUAUUGAAUUGCUGACCAUAAAGAGGUGAGGGCUGUGCAGGACUUGUGCCAGACCUUCCAUGUCUCACACAGUACCUGACAUGAGCAGCCAAGAGCAUCUGUAACCAUGCAAAUGGCAUAACCCUCCAAAAGGGAUGAAGUGCCUCUCAGACUCAGACCAAGCUCCUGGUAAGUGUCCUUGGGAUGGAGAAACCACAAGGCUAGCAGCACCCACCACACCUGCAUACACUGUUUCUGUAUUACCUUUACUAUUUCUCCUGGUAAUACUUCUACUGAUGGGGGUAAGGCUGCUUUUCUGAAGCCCGGGUAGCAUUAAGGAGAUGCCAUAAAACCUGUGGUUUUUCAGCCUGUAGUAGUAAGGAGAUUCCCACACGCUGGUGGGAAAUUUCCUUUGAGGAGUUGUUCAUUCCAGGCAACAAAAUCAAUGUGAGCCUGAUGCGAGCCCUGAUGGGAGAGAUCCAAGCGUAAGUACAAUUUAACUCAACAUGCAUGUUGGAUGGUAAGGAAAAACUGAAGUCUUUUCAGUGAGCAUUGGAGGCGUUUAGAUGCCGGCACAGAGCCUGAGGCCGUGGGACUGAGCAUCACUGGGCAAAGCCACAGCUAGAGGCAUGGGGAGCUGGGGCUGUGCAGCCCGGGGAAGGCUCAGGGGAGGCCUUUCAGUGCCUGGAAGAGCCUAUGGGAAGGCUGGGAGGGACACUUCAUCAGGGGAUGUAUUAUGUCUUAAAGCUAAAGGAAGGGAGAUUUAGAUGAGAUGUUAGGAAGAAUUGUUCACCAUGAAGGUGGUGAGGCCCUGGUGCUGCUCUCCUGAGCUAUAGGAGCCCCAUUCCUGCCAGCGCCCACAGCCAUGGAUGGGCUCUGGGCAGCCUGAGCUGGUGUGGAUCCCUGUUCAUGGAUUGGAACUGGUGCUCUGAAGAUCUUCCUCAUCUUCCUCUCCCUCUGAGUCAGAUAACACCAGGUUCCCAUUCAGGCUGGACCCACAAUAUCCCACUUGGACGAGUAGCACACACAGCUGCAGUUCCUGCUUGGCACCCUCAGCCCGGUGCAGUCCAUGCUCUCUGAGAAGCACAGCAGCACCAACAGCACUGGGGCACAGCGGGGCAGGAGGAUGCGGCUGCGCUCUGCCAGCAGGACCUGACAUGCUCUCCCAGUGCAGCGGGGAUGCUGUCCUCACCUGGAGGCCAUGCAAAACGAUGGAGCAGAGGAAGGCACCUUCAGGCAAGAGCAGAGCGAGUGGAAAAUCAAAGCAGAGCACAGGCUGCGAGGAGGGAUGUGAGCACACGGCAGUCCCUGUGUGCAGGGCAGCAGGGAUGGGGCUGUGCAAUGUGUUGGGAGUGGGCAGCAGCAAGCUGCAUGUGUAGCUCUAUUUCCUGGCUCCCGGAUUUGCUUUCGGAUGGGGAAGUCGGAAUGGGGAUGUUUUCUUUUAGGUUACAGUUUCAUUUGUUUUGCAGGAUUUCUGCUGAAGAGCCGUUUCUGUCAUUGAUAAUGGACUGGAAAAAAAGCAUCAGUGCAUCAUCCAAAGUGUUUAAUCGCCUGUACUCAUCAUGGUCAGUCAAGCACUCGGCCAUUAUAAUGAAGGGUUAGAAGUUAUCUAUAGAAUAAUCAAUGUAUCAUGUACUGCACUAAGAAUGUUCCUUUUUUUUCCCCAUCAAGACUAGCUUUGGCAGUUCAAUGGGCUAUGCAUGUUAUGAAAUAUUUUACACACAUUCUGUACUUUCUGUCCACCACUUCUUCUGCUGGGUAGCCCCCAUCUCUACCAGCCUCCUGUCCCUGCUUGGGCUCUGUUGCUGGUGGUCCAGGGAGCCAUGCUUUAGCAUAGGGCAGGAUUUCUGGAGUGAAGUCAAGCAAGAAGAGACCGAGAGGAACAGUGCUUGCAUGGAAAGGUAGAAAUCAUAAAAGAGAAAUGUUUGAUGCCAUCCAGGUGUUGGUGCAUCCAUCAAUGAUGAGAGCUCAGCAGCAUCUAGGAUCCAUGCAGGUCAAUGACUGUGCCUUUGGUUAGCUGAGGAGCUCUUCCAACCUGAGCUGCAUUUUGUGCUUGUCAGCCAGUGACUAAUUGGUGGAUCAGUUGCUGCUUGCAGUCUUCUUACACCUGGCUACAGAAGCUGGAUGACUGUAGUCAGUCUACUGCAUAUUGUCUGAGAGCAUUCUCUGCCUUCAGUCCCUCCCUAGAAAUUGGUACCCAACUGUUUUCCCUAAAGUUGUUUGAGAAAGAUUUGCCUCCUGUGAAGUGUCACCAUGGAAGAGGAAGGAUGACCUGGCUGGUGCCCACCUGGUGUCACAUUCCUGGCUUCUGACCUCGAGGUGGGCAGUGCUGACUGCUGGGACUUCAGUAGGAACGAGCAAACAAGGUGCUUCUCUUUACAAGUGUUGGAAUUGCAGCUCCUUUAUAAAUAAUUGUGUUUAGCAGCUGUUAUGUCUAAAUGGAGAGGGAGGGGAACUCUUGGGUUACAGAUAUUUUUCUUAGGAAGUCCCAUUAAUGAUCCCUUCCCUUUCCUUGCAGCCUUUCCUGCCCCUUCUGGGUUGCACCAGAGCUCUCAACCACCUCAGCUUUUAAAUUCUCAUUGCAGAUCCCUCCAUCUGCCUCUGCAGCACAGGGAAGUUGGCAGCGUAGCGGCAUAACCCAUAAGGUGGAUUUAGAAAUGUUUUCAGCUAAAUGGGUUUGAUUUUAUCAUUCUAGAUGACCUCCACUCUCCCUCUUACAGUGGUAAGGGGACAAGUCC
ensembl:lncRNA